rfam:Podiceps cristatus contig148112, whole genome shotgun sequence.
GUACAGAUGAUGAGCUUUGCAGUAUGAGGGGCAACGAUGAUACUGUAAACGCUUUCUGAUGUG